rnacentral:rRNA from 1 species
UUAAAUUGAAGAGUUUGAUCAUGGCUCAGAUUGAACGCUGGCGGCAGGCCUAACACAUGCAAGUCGAACGGUAACAGGAAACAGCUUGCUGUUUCGCUGACGAGUGGCGGACGGGUGAGUAAUGUCUGGGAAACUGCCUGAUGGAGGGGGAUAACUACUGGAAACGGUAGCUAAUACCGCAUAACGUCGCAAGACCAAAGAGGGGGACCUUCGGGCCUCUUGCCAUCGGAUGUGCCCAGAUGGGAUUAGCUUGUUGGUGGGGUAACGGCUCACCAAGGCGACGAUCCCUAGCUGGUCUGAGAGGAUGACCAGCCACACUGGAACUGAGACACGGUCCAGACUCCUACGGGAGGCAGCAGUGGGGAAUAUUGCACAAUGGGCGCAAGCCUGAUGCAGCCAUGCCGCGUGUAUGAAGAAGGCCUUCGGGUUGUAAAGUACUUUCAGCGGGGAGGAAGGGAGUAAAGUUAAUACCUUUGCUCAUUGACGUUACCCGCAGAAGAAGCACCGGCUAACUCCGUGCCAGCAGCCGCGGUAAUACGGAGGGUGCAAGCGUUAAUCGGAAUUACUGGGCGUAAAGCGCACGCAGGCGGUUUGUUAAGUCAGAUGUGAAAUCCCCGGGCUCAACCUGGGAACUGCAUCUGAUACUGGCAAGCUUGAGUCUCGUAGAGGGGGGUAGAAUUCCAGGUGUAGCGGUGAAAUGCGUAGAGAUCUGGAGGAAUACCGGUGGCGAAGGCGGCCCCCUGGACGAAGACUGACGCUCAGGUGCGAAAGCGUGGGGAGCAAACAGGAUUAGAUACCCUGGUAGUCCACGCCGUAAACGAUGUCGACUUGGAGGUUGUGCCCUUGAGGCGUGGCUUCCGGAGCUAACGCGUUAAGUCGACCGCCUGGGGAGUACGGCCGCAAGGUUAAAACUCAAAUGAAUUGACGGGGGCCCGCACAAGCGGUGGAGCAUGUGGUUUAAUUCGAUGCAACGCGAAGAACCUUACCUGGUCUUGACAUCCACGGAAGUUUUCAGAGAUGAGAAUGUGCCUUCGGGAACCGUGAGACAGGUGCUGCAUGGCUGUCGUCAGCUCGUGUUGUGAAAUGUUGGGUUAAGUCCCGCAACGAGCGCAACCCUUAUCCUUUGUUGCCAGCGGUCCGGCCGGGAACUCAAAGGAGACUGCCAGUGAUAAACUGGAGGAAGGUGGGGAUGACGUCAAGUCAUCAUGGCCCUUACGACCAGGGCUACACACGUGCUACAAUGGCGCAUACAAAGAGAAGCGACCUCGCGAGAGCAAGCGGACCUCAUAAAGUGCGUCGUAGUCCGGAUUGGAGUCUGCAACUCGACUCCAUGAAGUCGGAAUCGCUAGUAAUCGUGGAUCAGAAUGCCACGGUGAAUACGUUCCCGGGCCUUGUACACACCGCCCGUCACACCAUGGGAGUGGGUUGCAAAAGAAGUAGGUAGCUUAACCUUCGGGAGGGCGCUUACCACUUUGUGAUUCAUGACUGGGGUGAAGUCGUAACAAGGUAACCGUAGGGGAACCUGCGGUUGGAUCACCUCCUUACCUUAAAGAA